UCAAACCUGAAUUUGAAACUCCAAGCAUACAGGCCAUCCAUAUCAUCCAUGCUGAUAACAAAUGCUUCCUUCUCCUGUAGGAUGGGAAGGUAAUCCUCAGCUGCUUUCUGAAAUCAAGUUGUCCCAUAUACCAAAAGGAAUUAGCAGUAGAUAAUUAGUUCAGCACCAAGCUAAUAUGUUUACAUGACAAAUUGCAUCAAGUGAAAUAUUAAUAAAUUGAAAACUACAAUGGAAAUUGCAAUUCAAGUGAUUCUCUAUGCUACCAAUGGGCUUAAUAAUAUAAUUUCAUAUUAGAAAAGAUAAAUUACAAACCUUUGGGACUAUCAUUCUCCUGAGGGAGCCUACAUCACUUGUCUGAAGCUCCUUCUAAAAAAGAAACCUCAACCUUGUUUGGUCGAUUGCCUAAAAGCACAAAGCUAUUAGAGAGUCGCCAAAUUAAACAAGUAAAGCAUCAAUUGAAAUAUAAUUAAUGCUGAAAGAAACAUUGAACUACAGAAAAAAAUCUGUGAAAGGACAUAAUAAAGACACUUCACCGGUAAUGACAUACAUCUAACAAUUCCCAAAAUGGCAGCCCAAAUAUUCUUCAACAUAUAGCAUGUCAAUGAAUCUCAUAUGGUAAAAAAAAUAUACCCAUUAUAGCACAUGUAAUGUUCUCACCAGAAUUAGUGCCGGUAUUGUUCAUCAACCACUAUUUAUCUUCACGUUUCUUACAUAGAAACAUGAUAAAAAGUAGUAGUUCACAAUUCUAAUGGUUCUUGUUUGAAUGCAUAUAAUUAGUUGUUUAAGAUUAAUGGCGGUUGUUGUUGGUCACCAUAAUUUAAUUGGUAAAAAUUAGCAUCAACUCUUAUCUAACUGCCAGAACUAAUUGCUGGAGGUUAUCUAUGUUUCUAUCUGACCACUGCUGAUUAAAUGUUUUUGAUUAAGAGCUGCUGCUAAUUUAUUUUUGAGGCUAGUGGUGGUUGUCCUGGCUACUGCUUAUAGCAGUCCCUUACUAGAUAUAUAUAUAUAUAUAUUUUUGAACUUAUGAUAAGCCUAUCAUCACAUGUAUGCAUAUUCUGUAGUCAACAGAUCUCUCUCUCUCUCUCUCUCUCUCUCUCUCUCUCUCUCAGUGUGUUUGAACGUGCAAGAUCACUAAUUGAUUUACUUUGAUCUGUUUGUUACCCUUGCAGACCAAUGAACUGUAUCAAUUGGCAGCAGUCUAUGUUACACGGACUCGGGUACGAGUAUCGGGUGCGGAUAGCAGAGAUCUGAAUCAAGAAGAAGAAAAACGACACAGAGAGAGAGGGAGAAAAAGCGAAGCAUCGCAAGGGAGAGACGAAGCUGAUCGAACCAGAGAGAAGAACGAGAUGAAGAGAUCGAGAGCGAGAGAAGAGACAGACGAAGAGAACGAUCGAGAGAGAAAAGCAGACAGUUCGAAAGAAGAAGAUCGCAUCCCUAAUCGCAGGAUCGAAGCCCUAAUUGCACUUUUCAUAGCCCUAAUCACAGUGUAGUGAUAAGCUUGGUCUACGCUUAGAGCUGGGUUCCUUUGCUGCUGGAGUGAUGAUAUCAACUGAUCUUGCUCAGCAUACACUCAAACAAUGUCUGCUCUUUAUGCCUUCAACGAAACUAUAAAUGAGGACCCACUUAUGGCUUUGUCAAAUUGGAAUAAGCAAAUCGCUCCCAAUGUAUUGAUCUUCUUAAAUUGACACAUGCCAUUUCUGCUACAAGUAUACCUCAAGUGAGAACACUAUUGGCUUCUGUCGUUCAUCUCAGUUAAAAUUUGCUGAUUUCUCAUUCAACUUCUUUGUUGGGAGCAUUCCCAAGUGCUUAGAUUACCUUCCAAGGUCAAGCUUUCAAGGGAACUGCCUUCAAGACAAAGAUCCCAAACAGCGCUCUACAGCACGAUGUGCCAAAGCUCCACCUGCUACCAGUCAUUCAGGAGUCAACCAGAACCACUGGCAUGGUCAAGAUGGAAUUAUGAAUGAGGAAGCUCCAAAACCUGCCUUAGCUUCAAAACCCGCCUGGCUUUUAGCUCUGGAAAUAGUGACCGGGACCAUGGUGGGUUCUCUUUUCAUUGUUGGACUUCUCAUUGCUCUCCAAAGAUGCUAAAGCAAAACCUCCAUCAUCAUCCCUUGGAAGAAAUCCUCAAGUGACAAGGAUCACAUGACGAUAUACAUAGGUCCAUGAGAAGGAUGUAAUUGGUAUCACACAUCACUCCCACAGAAACCUUGUCGCGACAUAUAGCGAAGACUGCACGAUGAAAUUGUGGAAGCUUCCUCAGUGGUUGGUGUUUCUGCUGUUAGUCUAAAACGCAAUUUAGGUUGCUUUAUUUAUUUUCAUUUUUCUUUUCUUUUUUUCUUUUAAAGGCUAGUUUCCUACUAGUUCUUUUGCCUUGAGAAUUCCCACUUCUUUUUUUCUCUUGCUUUGUUUGUAAUAUUUUAAAAUUGUUUUCUUUAGGUUGUGUUUGGUUGGUGAGGGAAGAGGAUGAUGGGCUUAUUCAUUUAGAAAAUGGAUAACCCAUUUGGAUUUGGUGGGUCCAAGGCAAAAGUAGUGCUCAUUUUGCCCUUAAUGUGCAUGAUACAUUCCUUUUGGGGUCAUCUUUUUACUAAUUAACUUGGAUGUAGGUCAACAUUAAAACUGA